rnacentral:rRNA from 1 species
UAGUCCACGCCGUAAACGAUGCGCACUAGGUCUCAGAGCUCUGACGGGUUUGGGGCCGAAGUAAAAGCGUUAAGUGCGCCGCCUGGGGAGUACGGCCGCAAGGCUAAAACUCAAAGGAAUUGACGGGGGCUCACACAAGCGGUGGAGCAUGUGGAUUAAUUCGAAGCAACGCGAAGAACCUUACCUGGGUUUGACAUGCUAGGAUGCAGCGGUGAAAGCCGUCUAUGCUACCUUCGGGUGAAACUAGCACAGGUGCUGCAUGGCUGUCGUCAGCUCGUGCUGUGAAGUGUCGGGUUAAGUCCCUUAACGAGCGAAACCCCUGUCGUUAGUUGCCAGCGGGUCAUGCCGGGGACUCUAGCGAGACUGCCGACGUCGAGUCGGAGACAAUAAUGAAGGUGGGGGACGACGUCAAGUCAUCAUGGCCUUUAUGCCCAGGGGUGUCGCACGUGCUACAAUGGGCGGCUAC